rnacentral:lncRNA from 7 species
GCUGACGCAUGCUGGUCCGAUGCGUUUAAUCCCUACGUGUUCCUGAACAGUGAUAAUGCGACGAUAGGGCCAGCGAGAUUACAUUGCAGGGAUCUCAAAGAUUGCAUUGCAGGGAUCUGAAUCCUUCGCAUUCAUCGUACGAGAGUGACGACGAACUGAAGACGAUCCUGUUCAUCAGUUAGUUGGGCGAAAAGUUAGCUGUAGCAGCUGACUGCCAUUUUUCUGUCGCUCCCAGCCGACUCCGGACUGGAUUUUUGGCAGCAGGUGCUCUAGGCCAUCUGGGUCGCUGGAUUCCAUUUGCACGGUCAAGAAGAUCCAUGGCCGCUCUCUCUUUCUGACCCAUGGCCCCACCUGGAGGCCGGUGCAGAGCACGGAGCGGUAGAUCCUUUCCUCACCUGCUGCGCCGCCGGCCCGGACACCACCAUGGAAGCAGAUCCGCCGCCGGAGAGUGCGACGGAGGAGGAGGUCCUGCUACGCAUCCAUCCCUCCCGCCCAAGUCCCAACCUGCUCGUCCGCAGGUUUGCUGACGCUCUGCUUUGCAUUUCCAGGCGGGCACGACAGUCCUGGGGUAGGAGAUCCCUAAAGUAAGUACCAAAUCACCAGCAGAUUUUAGUCCAUGGACACCAGCUUUAGGAGUGGCAGAACAUGCAUCACUUGCUAAGCUAGCAAUCUGAAUUUUUUUUCGUGACCUUCAUAUCGUUGGUGCUCUACAGAGAAAG